rnacentral:rRNA from 1 species
UGGGGAUUAUUGCACAAUGGGCGCAAGCCUGAUGCAGCCAUGCCGCGUGUAUGAAGAAGGCCUUCGGGUUGUAAAGUACUUUCAGUCGGGAGGAAGGUGGUAAGGUUAAUAACCUUAUCAAUUGACGUUACCGACAGAAGAAGCACCGGCUAACUCCGUGCCAGCAGCCGCGGUAAUACGGAGGGUGCAAGCGUUAAUCGGAAUUACUGGGCGUAAAGCGCACGCAGGCGGUUGAUUGAGUCAGAUGUGAAAUCCCCGGGCUUAACCCGGGAAUUGCAUCUGAGACUGGUCAGCUAGAGGCUUGUAGAGGGGGGUAGAAUUCCAUGUGUAGCGGUGAAAUGCGUAGAGAUGUGGAGGAAUACCGGUGGCGAAGGCGGCCCCCUGGACAAAGACUGACGCUCAGGUGCGAAAGCGUGGGGAGCAAACAGG